AACGUAGGAGGCGAGCGUUAUCCGGAUUAACUGGGCGUAAAGGGCAAGUAGGUGGUAGGCAAAGUUGGGCGUGACAGCUCUCGGCUUAACUGAGGAAGGUCGUCCAAAACUAGUUUACUAGAGGGCAGGAGAGGGAGGCGGAACUCCUAGUGUAGCGGUGGAAUGCGCAGAUAUUAGGAAGAACACCAGUGGCGAAGGCGGCCUCCUGGACUGCACCUGACGCUGAGAGGCGAAAGCUAGGGUAGCAAACGGGAUUAGAUACCCUAGUA
rnacentral:rRNA from 1 species